rnacentral:rRNA from 1 species
CCUACGGGUGGCAGCAGUAGGGAAUAUUGCUCAAUGGGGGAAACCCUGAAGCAGCAACGCCGCGUGGAGGAUGAAGGUUUUCGGAUGGUAAACUCCUUUUGUUAGAGAAGAUAAUGACGGUAUCUAACGAAUAAGCACCGGCUAACUACGUGCCAGCAGCCGCGGUAAUCCGGAGGGUGAAAGGGUUACGCGGAAUCACUGUGCGUAAAGAGCGCGGAGGAGGGAUAGCAAGUCAGAUGUGAAAUCCUAUGGCUUAACCAUAGAGCUGCAUUUGAAACUGUUAUUCUAGAGUAUGGGAGAGGUGAGUGGAAUUCUUGGUGUAGGGGUAAAAUCCGUAGAGAGCAAGAGGAAUACUCAUUGCGAAGGCGACCUGCUAGAACAUAACUGACGCUGAUGCGCGAAAGCGUGGGGAGCAAACAGGAUUAGAUACCCGAGUAGUC